UGAGAUAAGAGGCUUUCUGUCGAUUAUCCCUUGCAUAGGGCGACGCCAAUUGCAGUCGUGAAACGAAAAAAACGGUUAGUCUGUUGCUCCGCAAGUAGAUAGAAGGAGCGCAGAGCCGAGUGAACGCUUCCCCCCUCUCGAUCUUCGCGCGGUGGUUGCGCCUAUCCGGAGCCUGCGCAGUGGCGUCUUCCCAACCGUAGCCUUGGCCGCCUAGACCCCCUCCGCGUCGUCCCACGCCGCUCCCCUCCCCCACUGUCGCGAAGCUCCCGCCCGAGCGGACCACGUGCCGCAAACCGGGCGGGGAGAGACCACUACUGCACCCCUUCCGGCCUCUUCGAACGCGCUAGCGUGCAGCCCACGGUCCCUGGGCCGGGUCGCUUCAGUCUAUUCAAAGUGUUUGUAUAGAGGACAGCUUUGGAAGAUAGAGAAAAUGGCUUCUUCUGGAGGAAAGAAAUACCAUUGAAGUGAUGUUGUGUCUUUGUCAAGUGCAUUAUGUCUGGAGACACAUAAUAUCUAUUUUCCUCAUUAGAGGUCAUGUUAACUGGUUUGUUAACUUGGUUAAGGUAAUGUCCACUGGGUUUCUUCACUAUAUAGUUUUUAUUUUUCCCCUUGUAAGUAAGUUAUUUGUGAAGAGAUAGUUUGAGAUUCUCCUUGUGGCUGCUUGGUGUUUCUUAUAGCAUAGUGGCUGAGUUCUAUGUAUGAACAUAUCAAGAGAACAAAGUAAAAAAAAAAAAAGUUAUGAUCUUGCCUCAGAAGUCCCUUCUCUUCACUUCUAUAGCAACUUGCAUGGGACAACCACAAAAGUGCACCCCUAUUCAAGGCCAGGGGAUAUAGAGCCCACUACACAAUGGGUAGAAUGUCAAGGUCACCUUUAAGACAAAAAUAGAUUGCAAGUCUUGGCAGCAAUUUUUGGAAGAUGCUGUGUGGCACACAAGACAGCACCAUGCCUACUGACUCAUAGCCCUUUCUCCAAGCAGUACCAGCCCUCCCACUGUGUGGUCAGUCCGUUUAGGCCUCUGAGAACCCUGGCCUUAACCUCCAGUGGAUUUGUUGGGGAUCCAGUCAUCUUGUGGACCCUUCGCUGCCACCCAGGGCGGUCAUCCAGAUGGAGGAGGUGGCACACUCCUCUGAGCCAUGUUGGCAAAGAAGAGAACACAGACAGAGAAUGCCCUUCUAAGUUCCAUGCUGUGAGAUUCCUAAAGCAGUGGAAGCUUUUGGAGGAAAUUGGAAAAGUCUCCUCCUGUUCAAGGCAUAGAACAUAGAUUAAAACUUAUCAAAUUGUAUACUUUGGGAGCGCCUGGGUGGCUCAGUCGGUCAAAGCCUCUGCUUCGGCUCACGUCAUGAUC